GCGUCGGUAGUCUAGUCUGGCGCUUUCGCUUCGCAAGAAGGACUUGCGGGCACUAGGACACAGGCUUGCCAAGCCUGUAACCCGGGUUCAAAUCUGGAAACCUCCAGCAGGUUUCCAGCCAUCCAGCAACCACUGCUUGAGAGUCCCGGCCGACGCA
rnacentral:tRNA from 1 species